AAGUCGUAACAAGGUAACCGUAGGUGAACCUGCGGUUGGAUCAUUACCAAUAUUCGUAUUGUCUUUUUCUAUGAUUACUUUUGGUACUAUUGUUUACUUACUUAACGUAGUGUUCAAUGGUACAAAAAGUGAUUCACAGUGUUGAUUAUUCUUGGUAGUUUGUGUUUUUUUGGUCCCUUUCUUUUUUUGGUUCAUUCCAGAGUAGGGGGGGAUCCGUUCUGUUUUGUUUUUUGGCAAAACAGACCAUUCUACCAAGAGCUUUUAAAACAAACCUAUUAUUUUAUUACAAGUUUGUCUAAAAUUUUAUACUUUUUUUCAUUUUCUUUCUUGGAAACAGGGAAGAAAUGGGGAAAAAUACAAUUGAUAAAACAACUUUUGACAACGGAUCUCUUGGCUCUC
rnacentral:misc_RNA from 1 species